GACGAACGCUGGCGGCGCGCUUAACACAUGCAAGUCGAACGGAAAGGCCUGCUUUCCCUUGUGGAUUGCGAGUACUCGAGUGGCGAACGGGUGAGUAACACGUGAGUGAUCUGCCCCCAACUUGGGUAUAAGCCUGGGAAACUGGGUCUAAUUCCCGAUAGGACUGCAGGGUGGUGCCUGUGGUGGAAAACGAUUUUCUAGUGGUUGGGGAUGAGCUCGCGGCCUAUCAGCUUGUUGGUGGGGUAAUGGCCUACCAAGGCGGCGACGGGUAGCCGGCCUGAGAGGGUGGACGGCCACAUUGGGACUGAGAUACGGCCCAGACGCCUACGGGAGGCAGCAGUGGGGAAUAUGGCACAAUGGGCGGAAGCCUGAUGCAGCGACGCCGCGUGGGGGAUGACGGCCUUCGGGUUGUAAACUCCUUUCGACCGCGAGGAAGCCACCUGGUUGGAAGGGUGGUGACGGUAGUGGUAGAAGAAGCACCGGCUAACUACGUG
rnacentral:rRNA from 1 species